GACGAACGCUGGCGGCGUGCUUAACACAUGCAAGUCGAACGGAAAGGCCUCUUUCGGGGGGUACUCGAGUGGCGAACGGGUGAGUAACACGUGAGUAACCUGCCCUUGACUUUGUGAUAACUUCAGGAAACUGGGGCUAAUACCGGAUAGGAGCUCCUGCUGCAUGGUGGGGGUUGGAAAGUUUCGGCGGUUGGGGAUGGACUCGCGGCUUAUCAGCUUGUUGGUGGGGUAGUGGCUUACCAAGGCUUUGACGGGUAGCCGGCCUGAGAGGGUGACCGGCCACAUUGGGACUGGGAUACGGCCCAGACUCCUACGGGAGGCAGCAGUGGGGAAUAUUGCACAAUGGGUGGAAGCCUGAUGCAGCAACGCCGUGUGCGGGAUGACGGCCUUCGGGUUGUAAACCGCUUUCGCUCAUGACGAAGCUUUGUGUGACGGUAGUGGGUAAAGAAGCACCGGCUAACUACGUG
rnacentral:rRNA from 1 species